rnacentral:rRNA from 2 species
AGCUUAACCGUAAGGAGGGCGCUUACCACGGUAGGAUUCGUGACUGGGGUGAAGUCGUAACAAGGUAGCCGUAUCGGAAGGUGCGGCUGGAUCACCUCCUUUCUAGA